UUCCUCGUAGCACAGUUGGUUAGUGCACUAUCAUAUUAAGAUGGUUACAUUGGUUCAAAUCCAAUCGAGGAGA
rnacentral:tRNA from 1 species